UACGGGGGGGGUAAGCGUUGCUCGGAAUCACUGGGCGUAAAGCGCACGUAGGCGGAUCGUUAAGUCAGGGGUGAAAUCCUGGAGCUCAACUCCAGAACUGCCUUUGAUACUGGCGACCUUGAGUUCGGGAGAGGUGAGUGGAACUGCGAGUGUAGAGGUGAAAUUCGUAGAUAUUCGCAAGAACACCAGUGGCGAAGGCGGCUCACUGGCCCGAUACUGACGCUGAGGUGCGAAAGCGUGGGGAGCAAACAGG
rnacentral:rRNA from 1 species